rnacentral:rRNA from 1 species
AAGUACGGCCAUAUCACGCUGAGAGCAACGUCGAGCCUAGUGAGUACUUAGAUGGUGACCGCUUGGGAAAUCUAGGCACUGUAAGCG